CUAAUUGGCAGAACAUUGCAUUAGAAUUAGAAUCUAAUAACACUCAC
rnacentral:tRNA from 1 species